rnacentral:rRNA from 1 species
ACUCUUGCCUAUCGGGAUCCAAGUUUUGGAUUCUCGAUGAGGACGUCUUUCCUGCUUACAGGGCACGGGUCGUUCAAUGCAUUUUUGCACGGAAGAGCCCUCAGCGAUACCACUGCUUGCGCAUGUGGAGAUCCAUAUGAGGACUGGAUGCAUAUCUUGUGCGCUUGCCCCCUAUAUGCAGAUCUGCGGGACCUAGAUGGACUUGGAGUGCAGCGCCUUGGCGAAAACUGGAUCUUCGAGGGAAUCCUGGAUGAUCAAGAGAAGACUCAACGGCUGGCAAUGUUUGCGGAAGAAGUGUUCCUGAGGAGGAGGGGCGUUUAGCUCAGCAUCUCUGCCGUGUGGUUAGCGGGCGAGAAUACUACCACAGUCCGCUGUUGCUUGUCGUAAGAGACGACUAAUACAGCGAUAGGAUUCCUCUAACCCUGCUUGUCGGAGCAAAAGGGGGAGGCCCACCGAGCCUCUUUUCGGUACCACGGGUUGAGCAGCUAUCCAAGACUGCUCAUUGAGGUAGGCCCCCUGGUGGGAGUAUCGUGGUGGCUGUGGUUGGUACCCAUAUCGCGGGUAGAGCCUUCAUGCUCGACGUUUGAGUUACGGUGCUAGUUGCGCAAAACUCGGGUGCUGUGACCCAGAGAUCAGUAGAGAUUUUAGGUAGAUCUCGCUCCUCAGCAAGGGGGAGUGCUUGCCCGGCAAGCAAGUACUCGAAUUGCUACCGGGGUGGUCGCUAUGUACAUAGCUAUAGCUUCUAGUCCGGGACGCUUGUCUGGCGUAUCCAGACACACGCACCAUAUGCUCACUUGUGGGCGUAUAGGGUGCCGUGGUUGUAAUCCCUUCAGUGUGGAACACGCCACGUAAAAUAAGUUCGGAGGGAUCCGAAAAGCAUACAUUGUCCCUAUCUACUGCCGUGUGGUUAGCGGGCGAGAAUACUACCACAGUCCGCUGUUGCUUGUCGUAAGAGACGACUAAUACAGCGAUAGGAUUCCUCUAACCCUGCUUGUCGGAGCAAAAGGGGGAGGCCCACCGAGCCUCUUUUCGGUACCACGGGUUGAGCAGCUAUCCAAGACUGCUCAUUGAGGUAGGCCCCCUGGUGGGAGUAUCGUGGUGGCUGUGGUUGGUACCCAUAUCGCGGGUAGAGCCUUCAUGCUCGACGUUUGAGUUACGGUGCUGGUUGCGCAAAACUCGGGUGCUGAGACCCAGAGAUCAGUAGAGAUUUUAGGUAGAUCUCGCUCCUCAGCAAGGGGGAGUGCUUGCCCGGCAAGCAAGUACUCGAAUUGCUACCGGGGUGGUCGCUAUGUACAUAGCUAUAGCUUCUAGUCCGGGACGCUUGUCUGGCGUAUCCAGACACAUGCACCAUAUGCUCACUUGUGGGUGUAUAGGGUGCCGUGGUUGUAAUCCCUUCAGUGUGGAACACGCCACGUAAAAUAAGUUCGGAGGGAUCCGAAAAGCAUACAUUGUCCCUAUCUACUAUCUAGCGAAACCACAGCCAAGGGAACGGGCUUGGAAUAAUUAGCGGGGAAAGAAGACCCUUUUGAGCUUGACUCUAAUCUGGCAGUGUAAGGAGACAUAAGAGGUGUAGAAUAAGUGGGAGAUAUUAGACCUCGGUUUGGUAUCGUCAAUGAAAUACCACUACUCUUAUUGUUUCCUUACUUACUUGAUUAAAUGGAACGUGUAUCAUUUCCUAGCCAUUAUACGGAUAUAUUUAUUAUAUCUUAUGGUAUUGGGUUUUGAUGCAAGCUUCUUGAUCAAAGUAUCACGAGUUUGUUAUAUAAUCGCAAACAAAUUCUUUAAUAAAACGAUGCAUUUAUGUAUUUUUGAUUUGAAAAUUUGGUAUAACUCCAAUUACUCAGGUAUGAUCCAAUUCAAGGACAUUGCCAGGUAGGGAGUUUGACUGGGGCGGUACAUCUCUCAAAUAAUAACGGAGGUGUCCCAAGGCCAGCUCAGUGCGGACAGAAACCACACAUAGAGCAAAAGGGCAAAUGCUGACUUGAUCUCGGUGUUCAGUACACACAGGGACAGCAAAAGCUCGGCCUAUCGAUCCUUUUGGUUUAAAGAGUUUUUAACAAGAGGUGUCAGAAAAGUUACCAUAGGGAUAACUGGCUUGUGGCGGCCAAGCGUUCAUAGCGACGUCGCUUUUUGAUCCUUCGAUGUCGGCUCUUCCUAUCAUUGUGAAGCAAAAUUCACCAAGCGUUGGAUUGUUCACCCAUGCAAGGGAACGUGAGCUGGGUUUAGACCGUCGUGAGACAGGUUAGUUUUACCCUACUAAUGACAAAACGUUGUUGCGACAGCAUUCCUGCGUAGUACGAGAGGAACCGCAGGUACGGACCAAUGGCACAAUACUUGUUCGAGCGAACAGUGGUAUGACGCUACGUCCGUUGGAUUAUGCCUGAACGCCUCUAAGGUCGUAUCCGUGCUGGACUGCAAUGAUAAAUAAGGGGCAAUUUGCAUUGU